rfam:Aedes aegypti strain Liverpool supercont1.614 genomic scaffold, whole genome shotgun sequence.
CAAUCGGCCCUUUUCAGGGCUACCAAGAGUUUGCAUAUGAGUUGUU